rnacentral:rRNA from 1 species
UGGGGAAUAUUGCACAAUGGGCGCAAGCCUGAUGCAGCCAUGCCGCGUGUGUGAAGAAGGCCUUCGGGUUGUAAAGCACUUUCAGCGGGGAGGAAGGCGAUAAGGUUAAUAACCUUGUCGAUUGACGUUACCCGCAGAAGAAGCACCGGCUAACUCCGUGCCAGCAGCCGCGGUAAUACGGAGGGUGCAAGCGUUAAUCGGAAUUACUGGGCGUAAAGCGCACGCAGGCGGUCUGUCAAGUCGGAUGUGAAAUCCCCGGGCUUAACCUGGGAACUGCAUUCGAAACUGGCAGGCUAGAGUCUCGUAGAGGGGGGUAGAAUUCCAGGUGUAGCGGUGAAAUGCGUAGAGAUCUGGAGGAAUACCGGUGGCGAAGGCGGCCCCCUGGACAAAGACUGACGCUCAGGUGCGAAAGCGUGGGGAGCAAACAGG